AACGAACGCUGGCGGCAUGCCUAACACAUGCAAGUCGAACGAGACCUUCGGGUCUAGUGGCGCACGGGUGCGUAACGCGUGGGAACCUGCCUUUAGGUUCGGAAUAACUCAGAGAAAUUUGAGCUAAUACCGGAUGAUGUCUUCGGACCAAAGAUUUAUCGCCUUUAGAUGGGCCCGCGUUGGAUUAGCUAGUUGGUGGGGUAAAGGCCUACCAAGGCGACGAUCCAUAGCUGGUCUGAGAGGAUGAUCAGCCACACUGGGACUGAGACACGGCCCAGACUCCUACGGGAGGCAGCAGUGGGGAAUAUUGGACAAUGGGCGAAAGCCUGAGCCAGCAAUGCCGCGUGAGUGAUGAAGGCCUUAGGGUUGUAAAGCUCUGUUACCCGAGAUGAUAAUGACAGUAUCGGGAGAAUAAGCGCCGGCUAACUCCGUG
rnacentral:rRNA from 1 species